GAAGAAGGUUUUAGACUGGAUAUAAGGAAAAACUUCUUCACAGUUCAUGUGAUCAGACUCUGGGAUAGACUCCCAGUGCAGGUGGUGUAGGCACCUACCCUGGAAACCUUCAGAAGGACUGGACGCACACCUUGCUGGUUAUUUGAGGUUAUUUGACCUCAGCAGUCUUUCCUGCCCAGAGCAGAGGGGCUGGAUCUGAUGAUCUCACAAGGUCCCUUCCAGCCCUAUACUUCUGUGAAUCAAAUCCCCACCCUCCAGUCUUCUCUUAUUCAGAUUAAAUAAACCCUGUUCUUUUAGCCUCUCCUCAGAAGUCAUGUGCUCCAGCCCCCUAACCAUUUUCAUUGCCCUCCACUGUACUCUUUCCAACUUGUCCACAGCCUUUCUAUAGUAGGGGGCCCAAAACUGGACACAGUACUCCAGAUGUAGCCCCACCAGUGCUGAAUAGAGGAGAAUAAUAACUUCCCUCAAUCUGCUGGCAACACUCCAACCAAUACAGCCCAGUAUGCUGUUAGCCUUCUCGGCAACAAGGGCACACUGCUGACUCAUAUCCAUCUUAUUUUCAACUGUAGCCCCAGGUCCUUUUCUGCAGAGCUGCUGUUUAGCCAGUUGGUUCCAAGCCUAUAGCAGUACAUGAGGUUGUACUUUGCGCUUGUCCUUGUUGAACCUGAUAAGAUUUCUUUUGGCCCAGUCCUCCAAUUAGUCUAGGUCACUCUGAAUCCUAGUCCUACCCCCAGCUUAGUGUCACCCAUGAGCUUGCUGAGGGUGGAAUCCAUCCCAUCUUCCAGAUCAUCAAUGAAGAUAUUGAACAAAACUGGCUUCAAGACCAAGCCCUGGGGCAUUGUACUUGAUACUGGCUGCCUACUCGACCUCAAGUCAUUGACUGCUACCUGUUGAGCCUGAUGAUCCAGCCAGCUUUCUAUCCACCUUACAGUCCCUUCAUCCAACCCAUACAUACUUCCUCAGCUUGUUCACAAGAAUACUGUGGGAGACUGUAUCAAAAGCCUUGCUAAAGUCAAGGUAUAUUAUGUUCACUGCUUUCAUCACAUCCACAGAGCCAGUCAUCUCAUCAUAGAAGGCAAUCAGGUUGGUCAGGCAUGACUUGCCCUUUGUGAUUCCAUGCUGACUUCCUAAUCACCUUUUUCUCCUCCAAGUGCUAGAAAUGGAUUCCUUGAGGAUCUGCCUCAUGAUGUUUCCAUGGACUCAGAUGAGGCGGAUUGGUCUGCAGUUCCCUGGAUUCUCCUUCUUCCCCUUCUUAAAGAUGGACACUAUAUUUGCCCUUUUCCAGUUGUCCAGGACCUCCCGCAAUUGCCAUGAGUUUUCAAAUAUAAUGGCCAGCAGCUCUAUCACAUCAGCCAACUCCUUCAGCACCCUCGGGUGCAUUGCAUCCAGCCCCAUGGACUUUUACAUGUCCAGCUUUUCUAAAUAGUCCUUAACCUGUUCUUUCACCACUGAGGGCUGCUCACCUCAUCCUCAAACUGUGCUGCCUAGUGCAGUAGUCUGGGAGCUGACCUUACCUGUGAAGACCAAGGUAAAAAAAAACAUAGAGUACUUUAGCCUUUACCUUCUCAUUUGUCACUAGGUUGCCUCCCCCAUUCAGCAAGGGAUCCACCUUCCUCUUAACCUUCCUCUUCCUUGACCUUCCUCUUGUUAACAUAUUUGUAGAAACCCUUCUUGUUACCCUUCAUGUCCCUUGCUAGCUGCAACUCCAAUUGCGCUUUGGCCUUCCUGAUUUCUUCCUGAUUUCAGGGCACAGAACAUGCCCUGAACUCUAGGAGCAAAGCUGAACUCCCAUGUUGCUCGCCCUGUACCUUUAAAUCUCUCUACGUGCCCCUCUCCCUGGCCUCCCUUUUAACAGCUUGGUCCUCUCCCUCCGUCACAAUCAGACAUUACACCAGGCAUGUCAGGCUCCCUCAGCUCAGCUUCUGAGUGGAACAGGAAUCAAAUCAGGGGUGUCCACACCACAGCAGGCCUCUGGUUCUGCCUCUACAUCUGCUCAAUUUGUGAGGGCAACUGUAGUGAUCAUACUUGAAAAUGCUGAUCCCAACAUCCUUUAGCUCUUACUCUUAGAAUAUAAUGAGAGUGGUCAUUCCUUAAUAAAGCACAGUGAAUGGAACUGAUAGUGUGUUGAUCUGAUCUAUAUGUUAUAUUUAAGAUGCAAUUAACCAGUUAAUCACAUCUUAAAUGGUCACUCAGCCGCACAUUCAAUCAAUUAAUGGCACGAUAAAAUGAAGAAUAAGCCACAAAGUUAUUCCACAAAAUAUGCGUAAUAACUUUGUGGCUCAUUACUAUCGCACCAACCAUUGAAUGUGUGGCUGGGGCCCCUGUGGCUGGGAGUUCUGUCAGCUGAUUGGGGCUCCCAUCUGGGGGCCCAUAUGCACACCAGAGCUUGGAAGCUCACAGCACCCCAUGCAGCCGAGUGGCUGGGAGUCUGCAGCUGAUGCAAUCUUCCAGCCAUGGGGGUACUCUGGGCAUCCCCGCAACUGGGAGAUAUCAGCUGAUGUGGACUUCCAGCCAUUGGGGUGUCCCAGGCUGGCUGUUCUGUCAGCUGUGAGCUCCCAGGCUCUUAGAUGCACAUGGGCCCCCAGCUGGGAGCCUCAGUUGCAUCAGUUGUGGGCUUCCAGCCACAGGGAUGCUGGCGGUACACCCACAGCUGGGAGAUUGCAUCAGCUGCAGUCUCCCAGCUUCUGGGAAUAUAUUACUUGCUGAUACAAGGAGAGCCUGGGAUCACAAUCAUAAAAUUCCCAGGCUUCCACUGGUAGUAAGAUAUGAUAGGAUUUAAUUUGUGAUCUUGCAAUCAUGCCUCCUGCCAUGCAUGUGUGGCAUGGCAGGAAGUGCGAUUGUGUGGAUCAUGCAUCAUAUCCCAUCACACCUUUACCUGCACUUCUAGAGUGGCUCAGAAGUACAUCUUAGGGAGGAAUUAACUUUGUGUUUGGUAUUAGGGGUGUCAGGUGUGUUUUGGAGUCCUCCAUACUAUGCACCUUUGGUAGGAUGUAAUUAGUAGAGAUAUGCAUUACUGAGCAAACUAUAAACUACUAGAAUUAGUCAUUGUGUGCAGUUUCAGUUAAAUGCUUGCAAAUCAUAUCAAAUGUGUCCAUUCUGUUCUCCAUUCUGUUUAUCACUUUAUCAUAUGCUAUCAGCUGGGUUACUGAUGGACUAUGCUUUGCUCCAGAGGGGUGUGAAUUGCCUUUCCUAUGGCUUAAUAUAAUCUCUGUUAUUAAAAUUAAUUUAGUCCUAAUUCAUUGUUAUUCUGUUGAAUGUUCUCUAUAAAAUCGUACAUGGCGAGACUGAGUAAUGCUACCACAGUUUGCAAAGAGCUUUAGAAUGAGGUGUAUUUUGAGCUCCAAAUAAUAAGUGAAUGCAUCAAACAGAUAAUUUCAAUUCAUUUCAAAUUCUAAUCUGAAAAGUAGCUCAAAGAUUGGCACAAAGCUAUUUUUUUAUGAUGUCUCAGUGACUCCAUAACAAGAUUGUUUUACAAAUAGGUGUUGCAAACUGAAACCUGGGACUUGAAAGUAAUGAGAAAUAUUUCCUUUUCAGGAGCGGCCAUGGUGAUGAAGAUCCUAUGACACCCAUCUUGCAUUGGUGACCUAUACAUCCAAACUAUUUAAUAACUCUAUGGAAAGGUCAAGAGAGAUCAUCCAUCCUGAGUAAAUUCUGCCUUCAUAAUCUCCGGUCCCAAAAUGUGCACAGGGGCAUCAGUCUGUCUCACUGGAGUGAAAAUCUAUAGCGGGGAGGAACAGGAAUCCUUUGGGACAUACACUGAAUAUAUCUUAGAAUCGUCAAGAAGUCAACAUAUUCACAUUUACAAGACAAAAGAGUAAGGUGUCACCAGUUUCUCAGAAAUAAGCUGUGGUGGGCCACACAAGGUACUCUCAAUGACUGCCCACCCCUGAUGAGUCACGGCAAUAUGGAGGUGGAAGCUGCUGAUUUAAAUGAAUGAAUGAACCUUCUCAAGAUUCUCUGCAUCCCUCCUGAAGUGCGGUGCCCAAAACUGGACACAGUACUCCAACUGUGGUCUGACCAGUGCUGCAUAGAGGGGAAUCAUCAUCUCCCUGCACCUGUUCAUCAUGCAUUUGCUAAUGUAUGAUAAAGUGCAUUUAGCCUUGUUGAUCACUUUGUCACAUUGACUACUCAUGUUCAUCUUGGAGUCAGCGAUGACUCCAAGAUCCCUUACCACUGCUAUGCUGCUGAGAAGGUCAUCCCCCAACCUGCAAGCGUGUUGGUGGUUCGUUUUGCCCAGGUGCAGCACGUUGUACUUGUCUUUAUUGAACUGCAUCCUAUUUCAUUCUGCCUGUUUUUCCAACCUGUUCAUAUCUUCCUGGAUCCGUUCCCUACCCUCUGGUGUGUUAACUUCGCCCCAUAAUUUGUUAUCAUCUGCAGACAUGGACAGGGUGCUCUCCACACCCUCAUCCAAGUCACUGAUGAAGACAUUGAAUAGUACGGUCCAAGGACUGAUCCUUGCAGGACUCCACUGCCCACAUCUUUCCAAGCUGAUAUUGACCCAUCCACCACCACUCUCUGGGUGUGACCCCUAAGCCAAUUUGCCACCCACCUGACUGUGUAAUUAUCUACAUCACAGCCUGUCAGUUUAUUUACAAAAACAGAAUGAAAUACCAUAUUGAAGGCCUUCUUAAAAUCUAAGCAGAUGACAUCUACUUCGACUCCUGUGUCUAAGCAUUUUGUGACUUGGUCAUAAAAAGAAACAAGGUUAGUCAGGCAGAAUCGACCCGCAAUGAAUCUGUGCUGAUUUCCUUUCAGCAUUAUUUCCCCUGCUGGGCUCCCACAAAUGUGAUCCUUAAUGAUUUUUUCCAGAGUUUUCCCAAGGAUAGAUGUGAGACUAACUGGUCUAUAGUUUCCUGGUUCCUCCCUCCUCCCCUUCUUGAAAAUAGGGACCAGAAUGGCCCUUUUCCAGUCCUCUGGGACCUGACCAGAGCACCAUGUGUGUUCGAACAGGACUGCCAGCAGCUCUGCUAUCACACUAGCCAAUUCCUUCAGCACUCUUGGAUAAAGUUCAUCCAGGGCUGCUGAUUUGUACACAUCCAUCCCCUGCAAGUGCCCCUUCAUUAAGUCUGCACUAACACUUGGUGGGCUGGUGUCCCGCCGGUGUCUAUCAAUGAUCCAACUGGGAGAUCUGUCUUGGUCUGUGUCGAGGAAUACAGAUGCAAAGAGCUCACUGAAGAGCUCAGCUUUGUCCUCCCUCUCUGUCACCAAUUGCACUAGUUUGUCCUGUAGGGGUCCUAUGCUACCCUGUGCCUUCCUUUUGCUCCCUAUAUACCUGAGGAAGGACUUUUUGUUGUGCUUAAUUUUUGUCACCAACCUAAGUUCCAAUCCUGCUUUGGCCUUCUUAACUGAUUCCCUGCAAGUGCAAGCCAGGGAGGUAUACUCCUCCUUGGUAACUACCCUCUGUUUCCACAGCCUGUAUCCCUCUUUCUUUACCCUUAGGCUUUCCUGGAUAGAUAUAUAUGUAAUUAUGACUGACUAACUACAUAGUUUUAUUUUAGCAGCUAAAACUCAGCAGCUAGACCAAGACUUAAGCCCUUUGUAUAACUAGAGUCCAAAGUGAGGGGGAGUUUGCUUAGAAACUCUCUCUCAUAUUCCUUCACUGUAAGCUUGCUGAGAGGAAAGAGGUUGCAGGGGAAAGGGAAAACUUCAGAUCAAGGAACAGCAAAUAGGCCAGCUACAGAGGAGUUUGCUAGGGAAGGUCUGCUUGGAAAGAGACCCACAAAAUGAGGGGCAGCAGAUUAAAAGACAUGGCUGGAGGAUGUUGCAAUCCCUGAUCCACUCACUUCCAGCUCUUCUUUUGCUUCUACCUGUGAGGUGCCUGUCCAGGCAGGACCACACACCAUUGAAGCCUCCAUCCAGGUCUUGGUUUGGUGCUGUGCAGACUGCAGCUUGCCAGUUUCUUUCAGUGUCAGCCAGCUCAGGGAGUGUCUGCAAUGUGAGCAGUGCUUUCUGGUGGUGUCCCUCAGGGAGAAGGCACAAGAGCUACAGGAGGAGGUAUUAAGGCUCCAAAGCUUCCUCCUCCAUGAUUACUUCAUCAAUUUCAUUCUAAAGGAAACCUCUAGGACUGUGGAGAAAGGACUGUCAGAGGAGAUGCUAGAAAAGUAAGAGGGCAUGGACUCCCAGGAAGGUGUGUCUUCUGGUGAUAAGAAGUUGUCACCCUCAUGUGCAGUGGUUUGCCUGGAGAACAGAUAUGGAGGAACAGAUAUUCCAUUGGUGGAAGAGGCCAGGUCAGGAAUCCCCCAGGUUGGGAAGAUCAAGACCACUACCACGAAGAAGCAGCGAUGGGAGGUGGUGUUUGGAGACUCCCUUGUGUGAGGGACAGAGGGAUCCAUUUGCCAGUUUGACCUGCUGUCCCUGGAGGUCUGCUGUUUGCCUAGAGCCCAGAUCCAAGAUGUCAUAGAUGGAUUACUGAGACUUGCCUGACCCUCUGACUACUACCCAGAGCCAACCCUAGCAGGGUGCAGGGUGCAGUGCAAAUCAGCCUGUGCAGGGCCCCUUUAACACUACACAGGGCCAUGGGAUCCCCACAAAGGCAGGGAGCAGCAGUGCCGUAGCAAUGAAAUUUGGCACCCGGGGCCCAAAAGAUCCUGUGUGCCCCAGACAAGCUGCUGUUUAGUGGAUGCAAAACCAGUGGCGUGCAGCAGGGGGCGGGCGAGUGGCUAGACACUUCUUCCAUGGUGUGGGGCUGAGCUGCCAGCUCCAGGCAGGUCCUGUGGAGGGGUCAUGGCUGCUGCACCCAGCUCUGCAGGGCCCCCCAAAGCAUGGGGCCUGGGGCGGUUGCCCCAAUUCACCCUACCCAAAGGAUGGCUUUGCUACUACUCCAUGCGGGCACCAAUGAUACAAAUGGUUGGACUAGAUGACUUCCUGAGGUCCCUUUGGACCCUAAUUUGUUAUGAUUCUAUUAUUCCAUCCCUGCCUCUGGCACAAAGUUCCUGCAUGAUGAUAGACAAGUCACCCAAGCCAAAAUUUUCACAGGUAAACCUAACUAAGUGUCCCACAGAUUGUGGAUUCCCAACUUGAGCUGUUGAGGUCUGAUUUACAGAAGUGCUGGGCAUUCAUAGCUGUACCUGAAAUUAAUUGGAGGCAUGGGCAACUGGUACCUCCUGAGUUGGGGGGGGGGGGGCACUUGCCCCCCAGCAGCCGAUUGCACCGACCUGGAAGUGUGAGCAGGGCACCAGGAAGCGCCAGCAGCACUUCUCCUGGUGCCUGCACUCCCACCUGCCCAUCGCCUAAGCAGGGAGCACUGGCUGUGAAGGGGUGCACCAGUGCUCUCAGGGGAUGCACGUGCACUCCCAUGCAUCGCCAGUGAUUGGAGGCAUAGUUUGAACUUAUUAAGUAGUAUAAUGUCAAGUAAUCCAAAAAAAUCACAACUCAGCUAUUUUAAAUUUGUUACCCAAAUUUAAUGAAUAGUUUUUACAUCAAUUUUUGUGGGCUUCAAUUUCACAUUUGAAAAAGGGGAUGAUAAUGUCCCCACUGUACAUGACUGUUGUGAAAAUAUAUUAAUUAACAUUGUGCAACAGUCAGAUACUCUGAGGAAGAGUGCAAUAGAAAAGCAAAAGUGAAGUGAAUAAUUCUGUCUUCAGAGCAUAGUUUUAAUAAUAGGCAGUAAGUAAGGUAUGGAACAGCACAUUUAACAAGGAGAAAACAAAAUAAUAGCGUUUCUGUACACCAAAUGAGGUAGGAGUCUUGUGGGGGAAAAAUAUUUAAUCAUACAGUUACAUAUAGGAACAAUAAUGCAUAUGCACAAGGGUUGGACACUUAAAGCUGUACAGAUAGACUUAAUUCUGGCAUUUCCUAGCUUUUGAGUGUUGGCCUUUGCUACCUUAAUAAUGUUGUAGCUUUUGUGUGUACUUAAGUAUAACUGAAAAAAGCAAAGUCAUCCUUUGGGGCUGCAGUACAAGUUUUAUUUUCCACUCUUGUGACAAAAGGGUUUGUAAUGUUUUACUGUCUGCAUGGAAGCUCCUGUGUAGGCUUUCCCUAAGUACACAUGGCACAGCAUUAGGGAGACCCACAACAGACAACUGAGCAAUUCUCUAAACCCUGAUUAGUUGUCAUAUGCAAUCCCAAAUUUGAUGGGCUUCAGGUAGAUUUAUAAGCAAUUCAUUACUUCACUAGUUAACCACAACAAUUCUUCACAAUGAUUCAAAAGCAUCAGUCUUCAUAACUGCCCACGUACAUAAACACAAAAAUUUCUAGGUCCAGCCAAUUUUGUGCUACGAUAGGCCAAAAACAGGUUUGCAAAAUGACUCAGAAGUGAAAGUAACAUCGGAUUUUGAGAGAUGUUUCACAAGUGAUUUGACUUACUUUUUCUAUAAGUACUAUAUACUUUUGCCUUGAGUUGAAUGUCCUAAUGCAUGUGGACUCUCAUGUUGAUGGUUUGAGUUUUGGUGAAAUACUGGUAAUUGAGAGAAGGAUUACAAAACUAGAUUUGUGAUGGGAAGAUGCUGCUUCACCCUAAACAAUGUAGAGACAAGUAAUCACUCUUUAAAAACAGUGAUUUUUGUGGUGAUUCCCUGUUUUGGAAAACUAAUUUAAGAGACAUUAAGGAAGCCUGAUUUUUUCCAGAGUUGUGCUCAGUAAUAGAGAAUCAUUCAGCACCUCACUGCAUCAAGCUCUAAAUGUUGUCAAAGUCUCUGUUUUGCACUGUCAAAGAUUAGGCAAGUGUUUCACAAGGUUUGGUUUUCUUGUGUGUUACUAAGUAAAGCUGUAAUGUAAUUGGACAAGAUUCUGACUCAGGCUAAGCUUCCUUCGCAUAACUCUGGCAGUACAGAAUAGUCAGUGAGUACCUGUGGUAAACCUGCACAGGUUAUGGAAAAUCACCCAAAAGUAGGGGGCUGAUGGAUAGCCUCAUACCACUUCCCUGCAUGGUCCUCAAUCUAGGAGCGUGUUGGGAGGAGUGGCCAGGAAAGGAAGGGGUGUGAUACACAUGAAUGCAGGGAGUGAUUGACACAUUCUUCCUUCUGGCUGUGCUGUGCUACAAAAGAGCCAAUUGGCAGCUGCCAUAAAUUGGAGCAGUCCCAAGAAAAAUGUUGGCCUUAGACCAGCCCAUAAUUCCAGGAUGCUUUCUGCAAAGCACAGCACAAGGUCUAGUCCCUUGCUUUACUAACCUAUAACAACUACUUAGUAGUUAAAGUAGCUUAUUGUGUUUUCUGUUUCAAAUAAGAUACAUGACUUAUUUUGUUAUUUUAAUAGAAUAUUUUGAGCUGACAGACAACCAUCAUGUUUUGGGGCACAGUUGCAAGCUUGUAUAGCAUAGCCUUUGAAUUUGCUACCUAUCAACAGGAAAAUGUCUAAUUGGUACAGUGUUGCACUGAAAUCAAAGCAAUGCACAUCAAAUGUUAAAACUUAGGCACUGUAGACCUAAUGCAGUGUCUUUAUAAUUAGACAUGAUUCUUGUUAGGGUGAAACUACACUUACCCAGAGCUGACAAAAACACACCUGUUUUAUUUCAGAACAUACAGUACUCUCAUUACUCAAUGUUACAGCAGCUUGUUAUUCAAAUGGCUGGUCAAACACAUUUUAUCCUGCCCAAGUAGGAGUUUGACUAGUCAGAAUAAAAAAGGACAAAUAUUAAAUUAGUUGGCAAUCUUACUUUGAUUAGAUUGCUCAAAUCCAAAGGAUGUUUCUUUAGAAUCUAAAUAAGAUGUUUCACUUUAUAUUUAUCCCUUGGCAAUUCGUAAAUAGUAUUUGAUCAAAGUCAAAUAAAGAUAAACAUCUGAUCAUUCAGUGGAGCCUACCUGUCUUACCUAUUGUCCUCAGCUCAGACAGGCUCAAAUCCCUGCUCCAACACUGACCUAAAGCUUGUAAUGAUCUUGUAGUUCUUUCAGUCAUGUCUCAUGUUAAGCUUGCAUCUCAUCUGCUUACUAUGAACCCUGCCAGUCUCUACCCUUUGUAUACUCACAUGGUGAGAUUUUAACUACAGUAAUGGUAUUUGGAAGAUCUGUCAUCAGAAAUGCUAGUGAAAUACACACCUGGAUUGAGCUCUUUAUUCUACAUGUAGCUGUAAAUGGUGGACUGUCCAAAUAGAUUACAUUUUUCAGAAUAAAGUACUUAUUUUAGGGGUCUUGAAUUUUCUAGAUAUGGACACAAUUGGAAGCAUUCCCUAAAUGGGAAGAGGAGAUUGUUGUUGUUAAACUAUGGUAGUGUCAACGUCUGCAAAGAGAUGCCAUAGUUAUAGUGCUAUAUAUACCCUUGUAGCUACAGAAGGCAGGUGUUCAGAUGUGUCCUGCCCGUAGCUCUGUAAAAAUGGUGCAGACACUACAGAAAUGUUCUUAUUUGAAACAGGAACUUCUCUGUAGUACUAUGUUUUCUAGUGCCGUGUGUAACAUCUGUACAGUUACGUGGAGCACUACAAGAAUCUCUCCCUUAGCAUCCCACAGUAGUUUGUUUUCUUCCCACAUGCAAGGCUGGAGGGGAGGAACAGGCUCCAUGACAGCCCAAUGUGGGGGCAGAGCUGCAGCCCAGCCAGGAUUGGGGGGUAGAGGAGGUAACCAAAUCACCCUUGGUUAAUCUGAGCUGCUCUCAUCUAAUCCUUAGUUUGAUUAGGGCCAAAUCAACUUCCAGAAUUAUUUAAGAACAAUUGGAAGCCCUUUGGAACAGAUUUGUAUGGACUGCUACAGCAAUCAAGGAUCAGGAGGAGAAAGAGUCCAAGGCAGGAUUUAUGUUAUAAGUUAUAUAUUUAAUACUGAAUGAUAGCGAUGCUUGUGGAACUUCAUUCCUUUCCAUAGCAAAUUACUCCAGGAGAGUGGCAUUUUCUAGUGUUGUUCACAGGACCAGCAAUCAGGAAUACCCAAUUCUAUUUUCAACUCAAGUUUUUUGCUUUAAAAAUGGUUGUAUUAUAUCAGUUAAUAACUAUGUGAAUGAUUUGUGACUGACUUGAUAUGCUACUGUUGAUUUCAUUAUUCUUUACUAUUCUUACUAUUAAAAUGAAAGUAAGAAUUAGAGAGUUGCAGAGGCUAGAUGUCAGGCAUUAUUUGUAAUAUUGUCCACAACACUAUGGAAAUGAUGUUACUCUA